rnacentral:rRNA from 2 species
AGCAGCCGCGGUAAUUCCAGCUCCAAUAGCGUAUAUUAAAGUUGUUGCAGUUAAAAAGCUCGUAGUUGAAUUUCGGGGUUAGUAGGUUGGUCAUGCCUCUGGUAUGUACUGGUCUCACUGAUUCCUCCUUCCUUAUGAACCGUAAUGCCAUUAAUUUGGUGUUGCGGGGAAUUUGGACUGUUACUUUGAAAAAUUAGAGUGUUUAAAGCAAGCUAACGCUUGAAUACAUUAGCAUGGAAUAAUGAAAUAGGACGUUCGAUCUUAUUUUGUUGGUUUCUAGGAUUGACGUAAUGAUUAAUAGGGAUAGUUGGGGGCAUUAGUAUUCAAUUGUCAGAGGUGAAAUUCUUGGAUUUAUUGAAGACUAACUACUGCGAAAGCAUUUGCCAAGGAUGUUUUCAUUAAUCAAGAACGAAAGUUAGGGGAUCGAAGACGAUCAGAUACCGUCGUAGU